GAUGAAGAACGCAGCGAAAUGCGAUAGGUAAUGUGAAUUGCAGAAUUCAGUGAAUCAUCGAAUCUUUGAACGCACAUUGCGCCCCCUGGUAUUCCGGGGGGCAUGCCUGUCCGAGCGUCAUUGCUGCCCUCAAGCACGGCUUGUGUGUUGGGCCUCCGUCCUCCUCCCGGGGGACGGGCCCGAAAGGCAGCGGCGGCACCGCGUCCGGUCCUCGAGCGUAUGGGGCUUCGUCACCCGCUCUUGUAGGCCCGGCCGGCGCUUGCCGACACAUCAAUCUUUUUUCCAGGUUGACCUCGGAUCAGGUAGGGAUACCCGCUGAACUUAAGCAUAUCAAUAAGCGGAGGA
rnacentral:misc_RNA from 1 species